UUCAACUUGAGAGUUUGAUCCUGGCUCAGAGCGAACGCUGGCGGCAGGCUUAACACAUGCAAGUCGAGCGGGCAUCCUUGUGGU
rnacentral:rRNA from 1 species